rnacentral:lncRNA from 1 species
GAGACAGACAAGUAAACAAAACAAAGUAAUUUCAGAGAGAGAAAUUUCUCAAGACAAGUAAAGAAAGUGUGAUGAGAAACUGGGCAAACAGCUUCUCUUGAGAGUAGACUUAAUGUGAAGAUAAAUAAGAGCAACCCAUCCUGGAAAUGGCUGGGGGAAGGCCUGGUGUUUGAGGAAUAAAAGAAGGCUGGUUGGUCCCAGGCACAGCUAAGAUAGUAGGGAGGGUAAGUGCAAAAUGAGGCCCAUUUCCAUUUAUUCAAUAUAACAUUCUCUUUGCUUCAUAUUAGACCCUAUUUUUGACCUGAUGUUACAUCCAGAGAUCUAGUUCACAGUGAUAAUGCAUUUUACAUGACAAAUGCUGUCAUUUAGGAUGUGCUAAGCCCUGGGACCUCUAAGGAUGGAAGCUGGGGUAGUGUACUUUUUUCCAGGGAAGUAAUAUUUGAGCUGAGUUUUGAAGGAAUGGUGAAAAAGGGUAGGACAUUCCUGGCAUCCAGGACUGCGUGGGCAAAGGGUAAAAGUACAGAGUUUGCUGAGAACUAGAUAGGGAAGAUAGUAGUGGAGGGACUGGUCAAUGAUUUUCACACUGUAGGCCAGGACUCAGCACAUCAUGGAUAAAUCAAACAUCAUUUAAAGAAGAAAAAUAGCAUAGACUAGAAAGUAUCAAAACAAUCCUACCUAAAAUUUAGUGUUUUAUGAGGAUAUGCAUUUUUGUACUUGUAAAAUGUAUUUCUUACUAUGAAUUGAGUAAAAAAAGUUUUGAUAUCAUUGUGAUAGGUACUAGGAGAAGUUUAAACAAAGAAAACAUAAUGACAUGAGAUCAAAAAGAUUAGAAUUUACCUUCUGGCAAGCCGUGGAUGGUAUUGAGCUGACAGGCUGUCAUUUGUGUUAAGGAAAAUGACAGGCAGCAGUGUGGAAGAUAGAUUGGAAAAUAAACACUGAAGACUGCAUAACUGAUUCGAAGGCUGUUGCCAUGGUCCAAGUGGAGAGUGAUCCUACCUUUCUCAGACUGAUCCAGGUGUCUCACCUCAGUGCUCUCAAAGAACUCACUAGUCCCCCUAUCUUAACACUUAGGACACAGGCUGAAAUCAGUUGUGUAAUUGUCUGUACCCCUCACUAGUCUGUAUGACCCAUGACAGCAGGGAUGGCAUCAGUUUUUUAGUUCCCUUCUUUGAUGACAUCAUUGCAUUUAGAAUGCGAUUCACAAUUUGUAACAAGAACUACAAAGCUCUGACCAUCUCUCUACUUGCAUUUUCCACCACACUCACCCCAUAUUUUCCUUGCUAUAGAUACAGAGAACUGAAGUUCUAAAUUGUUCUCUCAGUUUCUUUGCCCAGAAUGCUCACUGUGCUGAGAACCUCCACUUCUAUCACACACCUUCUGAACUCCCUUUCUUCCUUCAGAUUUUACUUAAAUGUCUUCUCCACCCCCCAGAUAGGUCCAAAUCAAAUCCAAACACUCUUCUGGCAUUUUUCUUGUUAAUAAGUCCAUUUUUCUUUGCUUUUCUUCUCUUUUGAUUUUUUUUUUUCAUUUACUUAUCCUACAAGGUCUUUGUCUUUACUAAACCAGUGCCCACACAUAACAGGUAUGCAAUGGACAUUUGUUGAAUAAACAAACUUCUUUUUUUUGGGCGGGGUGCUACUGGGGAUUGAACUCAGGGGCACUCAACCACAGAGCCACAUCCCCAGCCCUAUUUUGUAUUUGAUUUAGAGACAGGGUCUCACUGAGUUGCUUAGUGCCUCACUGUUGCUGAGGCUGGCUUUGAACUCCCAAUCCUCCUGCCUCAGCCUCCCACCCAUGAGAUUACAGGUGUAUGCCACCACGCCCAGUAUAAACAAACUUCUGAAUGGAUAAUAAAUCCAUCUGAGGCCAAGAAAAUGGGAGGAGAUGGUGAGUAACAGAUUUGGUUGCAGAUCAAACGAGGGGCCUUCAUGUCACUAGGCUACAAGUAUAGGCACGACACUCAGGAAUGAUUCUACUUCUUUGUCUGGUGUGUGUACCCAUUUCUUCCUUAAAACCCCCUUCUUGGGGCUGGG